rnacentral:rRNA from 1 species
AACGAACGCUGGCGGCAUGCCUAACACAUGCAAGUCGAACGAGACCUUCGGGUCUAGUGGCGCACGGGUGCGUAACGCGUGGGAACCUGCCCUUAGGUUCGGAAUAACUCCCCGAAAGGGGUGCUAAUACCGGAUAAUGUCUUCGGACCAGAGAUUUAUCGCCUUUGGAUGGGCCCGCGUUGGAUUAGCUAGUUGGUAGGGUAAAAGCCUACCAAGGCGACGAUCCAUAGCUGGUCUGAGAGGAUGAUCAGCCACACUGGGACUGAGACACGGCCCAGACUCCUAUGGGAGGCAGCAGUGGGGAAUAUUGGACAAUGGGCGAAAGCCUGAUCCAGCAAUGCCGCGUGAGUGAUGAAGGCCUUAGGGUUGUAAAGCUCUUUUACCCGGGAUGAUAAUGACAGUACCGGGAGAAUAAGCGCCGGCUAACUCCGUG